AUAACGGUCCUAAGGUAGCGAAAUUCCUUGUCGGGUAAGUUCCGACCCGCACGAAAGGCGUAAUGAUUUGAGCGCUGUCUCGACAAUGCAUCCGGUGAAAUUGAAGUACCAGUGAAGAUGCUGGUUACCUGCGCCAGGACGGAAAGACCCCAUGGAGCUUUACUCCAGUUUGAUACUGGGAUUCGGUACUGUCUGUACAGGAUAGGUGGGAAGCUAGGAAAUGAUGACGCCAGUUGUCAUGGAGCUGACCUUGGGAUACCACCCUUACAGUACUGGGUUUCUAACCUGCAGCCGUGACCCGGCUGGGGGACAAUGUCUGACGGGGAGUUUGACUGGGGCGGUCGCCUCCGAAAGGGUAUCGGAGGCGCUCAAAGGUUCCCUCAGAAUGGUCGGAAACCAUUCGAAGAGUGCAAAGGCAGAAGGGAGCUUGACUGCGACACCGACGGGUGGAGCAGGUACGAAAGUAGGACUUAGUGAUCCGGUGGUAUAAAGUGGGAUUGCCAUCGCUCAACGGAUAAAAGCUACCCUGGGGAUAACAGGCUUAUCACUCCCAAGAGUUCACAUCGACGGAGUGGUUUGGCACCUCGAUGUCGGCUCAUCGCAUCCUGGGGCUGUAGUAGGUCCCAAGGGUUGGGCUGUUCGCCCAUUAAAGCGGUACGCGAGCUGGGUUCAGAACGUCGUGAGACAGUUCGGUCCCUAUCCUCCGUGGGCGCAGGAGAAUCGAUGGAGGCUGCCCCCAGUACGAGAGGACCGGGGUGGACGCACCUCCGGUGAACCGGUUGUCGACCAACGGCACGGCCGGGUAGCCGCGUGCGGCGCGGAUAACCGCUGAAGGCAUCUAAGCGGGAAGCCGUUCCAGGGAUUAGUUCUCCUUCCGGUAAGGGCCCAGGUAGACUACCUGGUCGAUAGACGGCAGGUGCAAGGACGGCGACGUCCUCAGCCGAGCCGCACUAAUCGCCCGAGCUCUUCCGGAA
rnacentral:rRNA from 1 species